rnacentral:rRNA from 2 species
UGACGGUACCUAAGGAAUAAGCAUCGGCUAACUCCGUGCCAGCAGCCGCGGUAAUACGGAGGAUGCAAGCGUUAUCCGGAAUCAUUGGGCGUAAAGCGUCCGYAGGUGGCAGUUCAAGUCUGCUGUUAAAGGCUGGGGCUUAACCCCAGACAGGCAGUGGAAACUGAWCAGCUAGAGUGUGGUAGGGGYAGAGGGAAUUCCCGGUGUAGCGGUGAAAUGCGUAGAUAUCGGGAAGAACACCGGUGGCGAAAGCGCUCUGCUGGACCACAACUGACACUG